GUCUGAUUUAACUUCUGUAAAUUCAAACAACAAAUCACAUCAAUUUCAACCCGUAUCAUAAGAAGGUACUAAUAAAUUUCAGGCCGGUGAAUAUUUAAAUUUUUUCUGGGGAUGUAGCUGUAUUUCAAGAAACAGGGAAACCAUCCGCCGAAGGCGCAUUACCUUUCAGCACGACAAUGCAGACUCUCACACAUCAACUGAAACAACUGCAUUUUUGAGCACCCAAAACAUCGAUUUUAUGAGUCAUCUACCGCUUAGUCCUGACUUGGCACCGAAUCACUUCUUUUUAUUCACGCACGUAAAAAUAAAUAUAAGGGGCGGUUGAUGCAUUCAGAACGCAUGUUUUAGAGACUCCUCAAUCAGAGUGCCAAAAGUUCCUCGACAGUUGUUCAAACACAUGUAAAAGUGUAUAAAUCUUAAUGGAGGAUAUUUAGAAAAACAAUAAAGGGAUUUUCGAUGAUUAA